rnacentral:rRNA from 1 species
GAUCAUGGCUCAGGAUGAACGCUAGCUACAGGCUUAACACAUGCAAGUCGAGGGGCAGCAUGGGAGUUGCUUGCAAUUCCUGAUGGCGACCGGCGCACGGGUGAGUAACGCGUAUCCAACCUUCCCCUUAGUAGGGCAUAGCCCGGUGAAAAUCGGAUUAAUACCCUAUGUUUUCCAAUGCAGACAUCUAAAAUGGAACAAAGGUUUACCGCUAAGGGAUGGGGAUGCGUCUGAUUAGGUAGUAGGCGGGGUAACGGCCCACCUAGCCUUCGAUCAGUAGGGGUUCUGAGAGGAAGGUCCCCCACAUUGGAACUGAGACACGGUCCAAACUCCUACGGGAGGCAGCAGUGAGGAAUAUUGGUCAAUGGGCGAGAGCCUGAACCAGCCAAGUAGCGUGCAGGAUGACGGCCCUAUGGGUUGUAAACUGCUUUUAUAUGGGGAUAAAGUUCACCACGUGUGGUGUUUUGUAGGUACCAUAUGAAUAAGGACCGGCUAAUUCCGUGCCAGCAGCCGC